AGAGCGAACGCUGGCGGCAGGCUUAACACAUGCAAGUCGAGCGGGCGUAGCAAUACGUCAGCGGCAGACGGGCGAGUAACGCGUGGGAACGUACCUUUUGGUUCGGAACAACCCAGGGAAACUUGGGCUAAUACCGGAUAAGCCCUUACGGGGAAAGAUUUAUCGCCGAAAGAUCGGCCCGCGUCUGAUUAGCUAGUUGGUGAGGUAAUGGCUCACCAAGGCGACGAUCAGUAGCUGGUCUGAGAGGAUGAUCAGCCACAUUGGGACUGAGACACGGCCCAAACUCCUACGGGAGGCAGCAGUGGGGAAUAUUGGACAAUGGGCGCAAGCCUGAUCCAGCCAUGCCGCGUGAGUGAUGAAGGCCCUAGGGUUGUAAAGCUCUUUUGUGCGGGAAGAUAAUGACGGUACCGCAAGAAUAAGCCCCGGCUAACUUCGCACCAGCAGCCGC
rnacentral:rRNA from 1 species